rnacentral:rRNA from 1 species
CGUUUCCUACGGGGGGCAGCAGUGGGGAAUAUUGCACAAUGGGGGAAACCCUGAUGCAGCGACGCCGCGUGAAGGAAGAAGUAUUUCGGUAUGUAAACUUCUAUCAGCAGGGAAGAAAAUGACGGUACCUGACUAAGAAGCCCCGGCUAACUACGUGCCAGCAGCCGCGGUAAUACGUAGGGGGCAAGCGUUAUCCGGAUUUAUUGGGUUUAAAGGGUGCGCAGGCGGCGUGUCAAGCAAGCGGUAAAAUAGCGGGGCUCAACCCCGUCGAGCCGUUUGAACUGGCGCGCUUGAGUUCAGGCGAG